AAACCCCGUGGUUUGGUCUUAAUCGCCUUCUGCCUAGAAGGACUGGUAUUUCUUGAUCCAACACGGCCCAAGGGGCUUGUAUUCCUCGACGCACCAAUCCUAAUUGGUGACACUUGCCUAGGACAAGCAUCAUCAUCGCGCACACUCCCACUUUUUAUCAACUUGGGAGUAGAUACAGUAGAUCCAGAUUCAGAUGAUUCUCCAACACCAUCCAUAUUAAUAAAUUCCCAAAACCCUAAUCCACAACAGCAAUAA
rnacentral:misc_RNA from 1 species